rnacentral:lncRNA from 1 species
GCCAGCUCGCUGCUCUCGCGGGCGGAUGGUGUGUGGCCGCCGCAUGACGCCCGCCGUGCCCGGGCCAUGAAGUAGCGGCUGCUGGCGGCGCCGCUGCCCAACCGCCAGCCCCAGCCCCGCGCUGCGCUGCCCGGUCCUCUCCCGGCGGGGUCGGAUCGGCGUGGACAUGGCUGGCCGCGUCCCUAGCCUGCUAGUUCUCCUUGUUUUUCCAAGCAGCUGUUUGGCUUUCCGAAGCCCACUUUCUGUCUUUAAGAGGUUUAAAGAAACUACCAGACCAUUUUCCAAUGAAUGUCUUGGUACCACCAGACCGGUAGUUCCUAUUGAUUCAUCAGAUUUUGCAUUGGAUAUUCGCAUGCCUGGGGUUACACCUAAACAGGU